AGUUUGAUUAUGGCUCAUAUUGAACGCCUGGCGGCAGGCUUAACACAUGCAAGUCGAACGGUAGCAGGAGAAAGCUUGCUUUCUUGCUGACGAGUGGCGGACGGGUGAGUAAUGCUUGGGAAUCUGGCUUAUGGAGGGGGAUAACUACGGGAAACUGUAGCUAAUACCGCGUAGUGUCGAGAGACGAAAGUGCGGGACCGUAAGGCCGCAUGCCAUGAGAUGAGCCCAAGUGGGAUUAGGUAGUUGGUGGGGUAAAGGCCUACCAAGCCUGCGAUCUCUAGCUGGUCUGAGAGGAUGGCCAGCCACACUGGAACUGAGACACGGUCCAGACUCCUACGGGAGGCAGCAGUGGGGAAUAUUGCGCAAUGGGGGGAACCCUGACGCAACCAUGCCGCGUGAAUGAAGAAGGCCUUCGGGUUGUAAAGUUCUUUCGGUAUUGAGGAAGGGAUGUGUGCUAAUAGUACAUAUCAUUGACGUUAAAUACAGAAGAAGCACCGGCUAACUCCGUGCCAGCAGCCGCGGUAAUACGGAGGGUGCGAGCGUUAAUCGGAAUAACUGGGCGUAAAGGGCACGCAGGCGGUUAUUUAAGUGAGGUGUGAAAGCCCCGGGCUUAACCUGGGAAUUGCAUUUCAGACUGGGUAACUAGAGUUACUUUAGGGAGGGGUAGAAUUCCACGUGUAGCGGUGAAAUGCGUAGAGAUGUGGAGGAAAUACCGAAGGCGAAGGCAGCCCCUUGGGAAAUGUACUGACGCUCAUGUGCGAAAAGCGUGGGGAGCAAAACAGGAUUAGAUACCCUGGUAGUUCCACGCUGUAAACGCUGUCGAUUUGGGGAUUGAGCUUUAAGCUUGGUGCCCGUAGCUAACGUGAUAAAUCGACCGCCUGGGGAGUACGGCCGCAAGGUUAAAAACUCAAAAUGAAUUGACGGGGGCCCGCACAAGCGGUGGAGCAUGUGGUUUAAUUCGAUGCAACGCGAAGAACCUUACCUACUCUUGACAUCCAUGGAAUCCUGUAGAGAUACGGGAGUGCCUUCGGGAACCAUGAGACAGGUGCUGCAUGGCUGUCGUCAGCUCGUGUUGUGAAAUGUUGGGUUAAGUCCCGCAAACGAGCGCAACCCUUAUCCUUUGUUGCCAGCGAUUUGGUCGGGAAACUCAAAAGGAGACUGCCAGUGAUAAACUGGAGGAAAGGGUGGGGAUGACGUCAAAGUCAUCAUGGCCCUUACGAGUAGGGCUACAACAACGGGCUACAAUGGCGUAUACAAGAAGGGUGGGGAAAAUUGCGGGAUGGAGGCGAAUUCUCGAAAAGUACGUCUAAGUCCGGAUUGGAGUCUGCAAACUGGACUCCAAGAAAGUCGGAAUCGCUAGUAAUCGGGAAUCAGAAAUGUCCCGGGGAAUACGUUCCCGGCCCUUGUACACACCGCCCGUCA
rnacentral:rRNA from 1 species